AAGGUUAUAGCUCAGUGGACGUAGAGCACCAAGCAACGUAGGCUAAAGGUCCUGGGUUCGAUUCCCAGUAACUCUA